rnacentral:rRNA from 1 species
AGAAUGAACGCUGGCGGCGUGCUUAACACAUGCAAGUCGUGCGCGAAGGUGGCUUCGGCCACCGGAGAGCGGCGAACGGGUGAGUAACACGUGGGUGAUCUGCCUGGGAGCGGGGGAUAACCUGGGGAAACGUCGGGCUAAUACCGCAUACGUUGAUCUGGUUACGAUCAGGUCAAGAAAGCUGGCCUCUAUUUAUAAGCUAGCGCUCGCAGAGGAGCCCGCGGCUGAUUAGCUAGUUGGUAGGGUAAUGGCCUACCAAGGCGACGAUCAGUAGCCGGCCUGAGAGGGUGAGUCGGCCACACUGGGACUGAGACCGACGGCCCAGACCUCCUACGGGAGGCAGCAGGUGGGGAAUAGUUGGACAAGUGGGCGACAAGCCUAGACUCCAGCCAACGCCG